CCAGCUCCAGUUCAGAUUUUGCUUCAAAGCACACUUUUGGGUUUCAAGGACAGCCGCUGCUUCUGCCUGAAUCACAGAUGAAACUCUCAACGAUCAGGCAAAUCCGUCGAUAAGAUUACCCCGGUUGUCUCGGUAAACACAAGCGAUGGCCCUUUCCCCCCGUUCUUUUAACAAAAGACCCAUCGACGUUUGUUUUGAGCACACCGGGGGAAGGGGGAGUCCAUAUCGGAGGUAUCUCUGUUUGUAUUUGCGAAUUUCCCUUCUUUUUUCUUGUCUGACCAUCUGCUAAAAUUUUUCUCCAUGGUCAUUGCUGAGGUGAUUACAUGCUAGGGAUUCAUUCUGAGCUCUAUACACCAGGCCGUUGCGGGAUUUCCACAUCUGCCAUAGUAACAGGUCAACCAACUCAAAAGAGACUGAGGAUCGUUCCAGGUUUGCUUAGUCCAAGGACACAAGAGGAAGAGAUGUUCAAUGGACUCCGGGUGCUAAUGGCUGAUCGUGCAAGUAGCCUCAGUCUAUCUUCUGGGAGCUGAGAGUUUAAGGGGAUGGCCAGAAUCUCCUGGGAUAUUUCGCCGUCGAACACCUCUCUCGCUUUGUUUUUGUUCCAUCUAGCUUCCUCUUUGAUUAUUAACUCGGAUACCCAAGAUGGAUUCUCUCCAUUCGUAAGGCAUCCAAUCAAAUCUCUCGGAGUGUCCCAGUUUCUCCAGUGCAAACCUGCCCUGUUUUCAUUGCUUUUCCACCAAAAUGCAGCAAUUUUCCUUUCGAUGGCAUGGCAAAUGGAUAGAGGAAUUUUAAAGAUGGACAUUGCAUACUGCAGUAGAGCUUGCACCACAGUUUUGAGGAGAAUUUCUUUCCUUGCCUUGGACAAAAAGUUCUCUUUCCAACCCUCCAGUCUCAUGUUUACUCUUGCGAGGAUCCAAGCGAACAUUUGCUUUUUUGAACUAUCCCAAUCAGAUGGUAUUCCGAAUACUUUCAUGUCCUCUCUAGCUCCGGUACUCUCAUUUUGUAUGUCAUAUUUCUCCUCAAGUCACUUGGGCAGUUUUUGCUGAAAAACAUGCCUGACUUAUUCAAGUUUAUGGCUUGUCCUGACACGAAACAAUAUUGGUUAAGGACUGCAGCCACAUUGUGACAUUCUACCGGUUUUCCUUCGAGGAAGAGUAUCAAGUCAUCCGCAAAAAGUAGGUGAGAUAAAG